GGUGAUCUCCUAUGGGGAUCCUUCCACAUCAGAUGCUGGUUGGAAUAACAGUCCUGUUGAAGACAGUGCCAUCAAACAGUUACAGACUGAAUGAUAUUUACAUUACAAUAUAGUGACAUGUAAUAUGGUACAACAUAGGCAACAAAUCUGAUGUGGCUGGUGCAGGUACGGUGGGCACCAAACCAAGCUGUCUGGGGUCAUCUGGGAGAAGGCUCCUCAAUCUAGGCAUCCACCCUCCACUUGUUUGACCAAAAGGACGUAACACUUGGGCAGGAAGAUGCAGGUCAGCAGGCCAAAGCUGGAAGCCAGGAUGGCAAAAAUCUGGACGGCAACCAUGAACUUGCCACGUGUGCUGAGGUAAGCCGGGACAAAGGAGAUCCACACGAUGAAGAAGACCAGCAUGCCGAAGGUCACACACUUCGCCUCACUGGAAAAACCUUGCGUGUUUCCUACCUUAAGUGGUCCUCCAGUUUGCGGGCUAUGAAGGCAAAGAUGAAGGCCAGAAGAGCCAGCAGGAUGUCAUAGCCAAAGAUACAACAGAUGAAAACCACAG